rnacentral:rRNA from 1 species
UACGUAGGUGGCAAGCGUUGUCCGGAUUUACUGGGUGUAAAGGGCGUGUAGACGGGCUGACAAGUCAGAUGUGAAAUCCGGGGGCUCAACCCCCGAACUGCAUUUGAAACUGUUGGUCUUGAGUAUCGGAGAGGCAGGCGGAAUUCCUAGUGUAGCGGUGAAAUGCGUAGAUAUUAGGAGGAACACCAGUGGCGAAGGCGGCCUGCUGGACGACAACUGACGGUGAGGCGCGAAAGCGUGGGGAGCAAACAGG